rnacentral:rRNA from 1 species
UACGGGGGGGCAAGCGUUGUUCGGAAUUACUGGGCGUAAAGGGCGCGUAGGCGGUUUGCUAAGUUGAAUGUGAAAACUCUGGGCUUAACCCAGAGCCUGCAUUCAAUACUGGCAGGCUAGAGUUCUGGAGGGGAUAGCGGAAUUCCUGGUGUAGCGGUGAAAUGCGUAGAUAUCAGGAGGAACACCGGUGGCGAAGGCGGCUAUCUGGACAGAGUCUGACGCUGAGGCGCGAAAGCUAGGGGAGCAAACAGG